rnacentral:rRNA from 1 species
ACUCCUACGGGAGGCAGCAGUGGGGAAUAUUGGACAAUGGGCGGAAGCCUGAUCCAGCCAUGCCGCGUGUGUGAAGAAGGCCUUUUGGUUGUAAAGCACUUUAAGCGAGGAGGAGGCUCUUAAGGUUAAUACCCUUGAUGAGUGGACGUUACUCGCAGAAUAAGCACCGGCUAACUCUGUGCCAGCAGCCGCGGUAAU